UUGGAAGUAAAAGGUUCGUAACAAGGUCUCCGUUGGUGAACCAGCGGAGGGAUCAUUACCGAGUUUACAACUCCCAAACCCUUAUGUGAACCUACCUACUGUUGCUUCGGCGGACUCGCCCCAGCCGGACGCGGACUGGACCAGGCGGCCGCCGGAGACCCCCAAACUCUUGUAUUAUCAGCAUCUUCUGAAUACGCCGCAAGGCAAAACAAAUAAAUUAAAACUUUCAACAACGGAUCUCUUGGCUCUGGCAUCGAUGAAGAACGCAGCGAAACGCGAUAAGUAAUGUGAAUUGCAGAAUCCAGUGAAUCAUCGAAUCUUUGAACGCACAUUGCGCCCGCCAGCAUUCUGGCGGGCAUGCCUGUUCGAGCGUCAUUUCAACCCUCGACUUCCCCUUGGGGAAGUCGGCGUUGGGGACCGGCAGCCCACCGCCGGCCCCGAAAUGGAGUGGCGGCCCGUCCGCGGCGACCUCUGCGCAGUAAUCCAACUCGCACCGGAAACCCGACGUGGCCACGCCGUAAAACACCCAACUUCUGAACGUUGACCUCGAAUCAGGUAGGACUACCCGCUGAACUUAAGCAUAUCAUUAAAGCGGAGGAA
rnacentral:rRNA from 1 species